rnacentral:rRNA from 1 species
GGGUCAUUAGGUUGGUCGUGCCACCGGUACGUACUGGUCUCACUGAUUCCUCCUUCCUGUAGAACCGUAAUGCCAUUAAUUUGGUGUUGCGGGGAAACAGGACUGUUACUUUGAAAAAAUUAGAGUGUUUAAAGCAAGCUAACGCUUGAAUACAUUAGCAUGGAAUAAUGAAAUAGGACGAUCGAUCCUAUUUUGUUGGUUUCUAGGAUUGACGUA